CAGCAGCCGCGGUAAUACGGAGGGUGCAAGCGUUAAUCGGAAUUACUGGGCGUAAAGCGUGCGUAGGCGGCUUGUUCAGUCAGAUGUGAAAGCCCUGGGCUUAACCUGGGAACUGCAUUUGAUACUGGCAGGCUAGAGUUUAGUAGAGGGGAGUGGAAUUUCAGGUGUAGCGGUGAAAUGCGUAGAGGUCUGAAGGAACACCAGUGGCGAAGGCGGCUCCCUGGACUAAAACUGACGCUGAGGUACGAAAGCGUGGGUAGCAAACAGGAUUAGAUACCCAGGUAGUCCACGCCGUAAACGAUGUCAACUAACCGUUGGGUUCUUAAAGAACUUAGUGGUGGAGCUAACGUAUUAAGUUGACCGCCUGGGGAGUACGGCCGCAAGGCUAAAACUCAAAUAAAUUGACGG
rnacentral:rRNA from 1 species